UGAUCAAUAGUCGGAGUACUCCAAAAAUUCAAACUCCUGAUAUAGUGACUAACCUUAUCAUCAUCUUGGUUAUCUGAAGUGAAUUUUAAUUCGUUUUUGUGAUUUUAUGAAAAAUGAAUUUAAAUGGUAAAUUUUUAGGUUUUAUAAACAAAAUGUGUUUAAAUGAAAUGAUUUUAUAAAAUUGUCUUGAAAUUAAAAGAUGGUUUUGAAAAUGGAGUAAUUGGAGACCAAUUACUGUGUUAUAAAUUAUGGUUUGAAUUGAAUGGCUUAUGAUAAUAAUUGCAUGAAUGGCUGAAUUGGUAUUUGUGUUGAAAAUGUAUGAACUGUUAAUUUGCAUUGAGAGGCUGUAAAAUAAAAUAAUUACCAUGUCAUGCUGUUGAAUUUUAUUGAAUUGGUGGGUUAUAUAUUGGUCGCUGCAGUGGACGGGUUUCGUGGACCAUCUUAUUAGAAGGGCACGGUAACCUUAUUAUAUUCAUACCUCAGUAUGAGAGGCGCAGUUGGAUAACUCUUGAGGUUAAAACUUUAGAGUUCACUUCACGCCAAAGCACCACGUGAGGGUGAACUCAGCCAACGCCAAGGUACGACUAUGCUUUCAAAAUAAAAACAUGAUUUAUGAGUACAUAACUUUUUAACAGCCUUGGCGAUCUCGGUUGGGAUAGCUUUCAGCCAAGGUGUCCUUGAUAACUGAGUAUGAGAAUGAUUUUGACACGAGCCAAAGUUUUAAGAAAUUUAUAAGCCAUGUUGAUUACUCGAUUUAUAUGAAUUGGUUUUAUUUGGUUGAAAUGAGUUGAAAGGUGAUGAAUUACAAUAUGUUAAACUAUUUUAUCUGUCUCCAUUUACUCAGCUUUAGAUAUUUUAGAUGGUAUUUGUUUACUCAUUGGGAUUAUAUAAUAUCCCCACCCUCCUUUCCACCCAUUUCAGGCUCAGGAUAGUCGAUAGAUAGCUCAUUUCAUUGAAGGCUACAGUUGGACUUGCAUCCUCAAAAAAAAAAACUGUAGGUUUACCUCUUUUGAUACUUUUGGUCGUUUAUGGGCCCACUUGUCACUGUAAAUUAAAUUUUAUACUUUGGUUAUCUAUAUUACAGUAUGUAUAAAUUUAUUUAGCUUUUACGCUACAAAAAUUAUUUACCGAAAACUCUUUAAAUAUUGUUUUAUAAGAAAAUAGAAUAUUUUAUUGAAUAUUUUUAUUAUAUUCAAAUAGUCAUAAUUUCUAUUUAAAUAAAUGUUUUAGAUAUCUAAACUUAUUUUUUAUUAUGAAAUAUGUGUUUUCCACUUGCGUAUUACAUUUUUAGCUGGUUUCGAGAUUUUUGAAGAAAAAUGACCAAAAUGCCCCUGUGAGGCAGAAAUCAUUUUUUUUUAUUGAUUUAAGUUGGAAAUAGCUUAAAAUCCUUUAGAACAUGAUAUUUGGUAACGGUUACUCACAAGGAAAAUGAGAAACUGAUAUUAAAGCCUUAUGGGUUUUUGAUUGACAUUUCGAGAAAUGAGUAUCGAUCGGGACACCGCGACGGUUGUCACAGGCUCAAAAGGAGUACCGAGUAGUGACAAUUUCAGCUACAUAUUUUCCUAAAUCCUACCUUGACCCUAGCCAUACAUUAAAAGCUUGAUAAAGUCUUAAGGAUCCUGGAAUAAGUGUUUGUCUACAUUAAUGCAAAGAGGGGUGAACAGCAAACAUAUGAAACUCUUGAGUAUUUAAAAAUAUAACACGGGAUUCCAUUGAAAAAUGAGCUUGCAAUUUAGUGAAAUGUGAACUUAAAUAAUGUUUAUACUAUGCUUAGGAUGUUGAGGAAAUAAGAUGGCUUACGAGGAAUUAAAAGUGAUUUUUGUAAUGGUGCAUCUGAUUUAUAGUUUAAUGUUUUUGAUAUUCAUGUUUCUUUCUUUGGUUUUAGAGUUUUGCUCGAGGACUAGCAAAAUGUUACCCAUGGGGGAUAAUAAAGAUUGAGAGUAAGGCCACUGAAGUGCUUAUGGUUAAUGGACUAAGCUUCAAGCCGUAUGUUGUGGAUGAUGAAUUGAAAAAUAGGGUGAAUUUGUCAAGCUAGUGACUAUAAAAAAGCAUUUCUCGGGAGGCAAUCCAAGUUUUUCUACACUCAGUCAUUUUUUUUUUAAUAAUCUUCUUUAUGUUUCCUUAUAUUCAUAAUUUUUAGUUUUAGUUUUAAUUUUAUCUGCUUAUUUUCUCUUUUGUAGGUAUUAUGAAUAUUUUUUUCUCUUUUAUUUAUUCAAAAAAAAAAUACAUAGCACCCUUAGUGUCGUGGCACCAGGCACCUAGCACCAUGACUCGGAACCUCCCUCGGGCCUAUGACAACCGCCUCGACGUCCCAAUUGACACUCAUUACCCGAAAUGCCAAUCAGAACCCCGCAAGGCUUACAUAUCAGUUUCUUGCCUUUUCUGUGAGCAAUCGUUUUUAAACAUUCCAUUUUAAACAAUUUCCAGUAGUUUCCUGCUCAAGUAAAUCAAAAGACAAAAAUAUUUUAAAAAGAUUUAUAGAUAAAUAUCACUAUUCAAAAUAUUGAUUAAAAUAUAACAUUUUUUUAUAUAAAAUAAUAUUUAUAGAAACACGUGUAAGAAAUCUUUUUGUAAC
rnacentral:lncRNA from 1 species